UACGAAGGGGGCUAGCGUUGCUCGGAAUUACUGGGCGUAAAGCGCGCGUAGGCGGAUCGUUAAGUCGGGGGUGAAAUCCUGGAGCUCAACUCCAGAACUGCCUUUGAUACUGGCGAUCUUGAGUCCGGGAGAGGUGAGUGGAACUCCGAGUGUAGAGGUGAAAUUCGUAGAUAUUCGGAAGAACACCAGUGGCGAAGGCGGCUCACUGGCCCGGUACUGACGCUGAGGUGCGAAAGCGUGGGGAGCAACAGG
rnacentral:rRNA from 1 species